UACAGAGGGUGCAAGCGUUGUUCGGAAUUAUUGGGCGUAAAGGGCGCGUAGGCGGUGCGGUAAGUCUGCGGUGAAAUCUCCCGGCUCAACUGGGAGGCUGCCGUGGAAACUGCCGUGCUUGAGUGUGGGAGAGGUGAGUGGAAUUCCCGGUGUAGCGGUGAAAUGCGUAGAUAUCUGGAGGAACACCGGUGGCGAAGGCGGCGUCCUGGACCAACACUGACACUGAUGAGCGAAAGCCAGGGGAGCAAACGGG
rnacentral:rRNA from 1 species